GUCACCGUCACGACUGCUGUUACGGGAAAGCUGAGGUCGCUGGCUGCAGCCCCAAAUUGGAUCCAUACAACUUUGUGUGCAAAGACAAGCAGGCAGAAUGUGACUCGCUGAAAGACAGAUGCCAAAAAAUGAUAUGCAAGUGUGACAGUGAAGCUGCCAAGUGUUGGGCCAAAGCUAGAUUCAAUCCAUCACUUAAAUACUUUCAACAAAAUUCCUGUGGAACGAUCCAGCCCUUGUGCAAGGCAGACAAGAACAAAAAACGUGUCCUCUUAGAAAACCAUUAAAAUGCAAAAAAAU